rnacentral:rRNA from 1 species
GAUGAACGCUGGCGGCGUGCUUAACACAUGCAAGUCGAACGUGAGAGGUAGCAAUAUCUUGAAAGUGGCGAACGGGUGAGUAACACGUAGGUGACCUGCCUCGGAGUGGGGGAUAACAGUUAGAAAUGACUGCUAAUACCGCAUGAAUCCACGGGAUUGGGAAAUUCGGUGGAGAAAACUCUGGUGCUUCGAGAGGGGCCUGCGGUCGAUUAGCUAGUUGGCGGGGUAACGGCCCACCAAGGCGACGAUCGAUAGCUGGUCUGAGGAGGACGAUACGAC